GGGGAUUUAGCUCAGUGGUAGAGCGGUUGCCUAGCAAGCACAAGGCCCUGGGUUCGGUCCUCAGCUCCG
rnacentral:tRNA from 1 species